GUCUCCGCACAAGCAGCGGAGCGUGUGGUUUAAUUCGAUGAUACACGAAGAACCUUACCAGGGCUUGACAUGCAAGUGGUAGGAAACUGAAAAGGGACCGACCCUUCGGGGAGCUUGCACAGGUGCUGCAUGGCUGUCGUCAGCUCGUGUCGUGAGAUGUUCGGUUAAGUCCGCUAACGAGCGCAACCCUCGCUGCGUGUUACAAGUGUCACGCGGGACCGCCGGUAUUAAGCCGGAGGAAGGUGGGGAUGACGUCAAGUCAGCAUGGCCUUUAUGUUCUGGGCUACACACACGCUACAAUGGUCAGCACAAUAGGUAGCGAAGCCGCGAGGCGGAGCCAAUCCCUAAAGUUGGCCUCAGUUCAGAUUGCAGGCUGCAACCCGCCUGCAUGAAGAUGGAGUUGCUAGUAAACGCAGGUCAGCCAUACUGCGUUGAAUACGUUCCCGGAGAUU
rnacentral:rRNA from 1 species